rnacentral:rRNA from 1 species
CAGUCGCCACGGUAAUACAGAGGGUGCGAGCGUUAAUCGGAUUUACUGGGCGUAAAGCGUGCGUAGGCGGCUUCUUAAGUCGGAUGUGAAAUCCCUGAGCUUAACUUAGGAAUUGCAUUCGAUACUGGGAAGCUAGAGUAUGGGAGAGGAUGGUAGAAUUCCAGGUGUAGCGCUGAAAUGCGUAGAGAUCUGGAGGAAUACCGAUGGCGAAGGCAGCCAUCUGGCCUAAUACUGACGCUGAGGUACGAAAGCAUGGGGAGCAAACAGGAUUAGAUACCCGCGUAGUCCCUGUCUCUUAUAA